rnacentral:lncRNA from 1 species
GAAAAAACGAGAGAUUAGAGAUAACCGCUUCUCUGCUUCGCCGGCGCCGGAGUUUCAUCAACGAGCUUUGGAAGAAUUUAAACGGUACCUUUCAACUACGUCUUUGCUCCGCAGCCCGAAGCCGGAUGAACAGUUGUAUCUUUACUUGGCAGUUUUCGAGGUGGCGGUAAGUGCAGUCUUGGUCCGAGAAGAUGAAGAUACGCAAUUUACUAUUUAAUAUGUCAGUAGAACUCCAGGCGAUGCCGAAACAAAGUAUAUCCUUACCUGAAAAAAUUGGCGCUCGCUUUGCUAACCGCCUCCAGAAAGUUAAAACUGUACUUUCAAUAAAACCCCAUAUGUGUCGUAAC